AAUACAGAAGUGAUUUUAUUGAUUGGACACACAUGUCUGAGAAAAAAGCAGUCCACUACGUCACAAUCUGGAGCAGCUGAUGAUCCGAACACAACUGCAGGCUACGAAAAUGUGAGAACACUGCAGAACACAGGAGAAUUUUAAGAAGAUUCCAAUGCUGUGUACUUG